GGUAGGGUGGCUGAGUGUUAGGCGGUGGAUUGUAAACCCAUGUACAGAGGUUCAAGCCCUCUUCCUGCCA
rnacentral:tRNA from 1 species